UCGGGAAUUUUGGGCAAUGGGCGAAAGCCUGACCCAGCAACGCCGCGUGAAGGAUGAAGUAUUUCGGUAUGUAAACUUCGUAAGAAUAGGAAGAAUAAAUGACGGUACUAUUUGUAAGGUCCGGCUAACUACGUGCCAGCAGCCGCGGUAAUACGUAGGGACCAAGCGUUGUUCGGAUUUACUGGGCGUAAAGGGCGCGUAGGCGGCGUGGUAAGUCAUCUGUGAAAUCUCCGAGCUUAACUCGGAACGGUCAGAUGAUACUGCUGUGCUAGAGUACAGAAGGGGCAAUCGGAAUUCUUGGUGUAGCGGUGAAAUGCGUAGAUAUCAAGAGGAACACCUGAGGCGAAGGCGGGUUGCUGGGCUGAUACUGACGCUGAGGCGCGAAAGCUAGGGUAGCAAACAGGAUUAGAUACCCCUGUAGUCCCUGAGCGGGCUGGCAAGGCGCAU
rnacentral:rRNA from 1 species